rnacentral:rRNA from 1 species
AACAGGAUUAGAUACCCUGGUAGUCCACGCCGUAAACGAUGAGUGCUAAGUGUUAGGGGGUUUCCGCCCCUUAGUGCUGCAGCUAACGCAUUAAGCACUCCGCCUGGGGAGUACGACCGCAAGGUUGAAACUCAAAGGAAUUGACGGGGGCCCGCACAAGCGGUGGAGCAUGUGGUUUAAUUCGAAGCAACGCGAAGAACCUUACCAAAUCUUGACAUCCUCUGAACCCUCUAGAGAUAGAGUUUUCCCCUUCGGGGGACAGAGUGACAGGUGGUGCAUGGUUGUCGUCAGCUCGUGUCGUGAGAUGUUGGGUUAAGUCCCGCAACGAGCGCAACCCUUAAGCUUAGUUGCCAUCAUUAAGUUGGGCACUCUAAGUUGACUGCCGGUGACAAACCGGAGGAAGGUGGGGAUGACGUCAAAUCAUCAUGCCCCUUAUGAUUUGGGCUACACACGUGCUACAAUGGACAAUACAAAGGGUAGCGAAACCGCGAGGUCAAGCAAAUCCCAUAAAGUUGUUCUCAGUUCGGAUUGUAGUCUGCAACUCGACUAUAUGAAGCUGGAAUCGCUAGUAAUCGUAGAUCAGCAUGCUACGGUGAAUACGUUCCCGGGUCUUGUACACACCGCCCGUCACACCACGAGAGUUUGUAACACCCGAAGCCGGUGGAGUAACCAUUUGGAGCUAGCCGUCGAAGGUGGGACAAAUGAUCGGGGUGAAGUCGUAACAAGGUAACC